GAUGAACGCUGGCGGCGUGCCUAAUACAUGCAAGUCGUACGGAAAGGCCCUUCGGGGUACUCAAGUGGCGGACGGCUGAGUAACGCGUGGGAACGUGCCCCAAAGUGAGGGAUAACGCACCGAAAGGUGUGCUAAUACCGCAUAUGGUCUUCGGAUUAAAGCUUCGGCGCUUUGGGAGCGGCCCGCGUACGAUUAGAUAGUUGGUGAGGUAAUGGCUCGCCAAGUCGACGAUCGUUAGCUGGUCUGAGAGGAUGAUCAGCCAGACUGGGACUGAGACACGGCCCAGACUCCUACGGGAGGCAGCAGUAAGGAAUCUUCCACAAUGGGGGCAACCCUGAUGGAGCAACGCCGCGUGCAGGAUGAAGGUUUUCGGAUCGUAAACUGCUUUUAUAAGUGAAGAAUAUGACGGUAACUUAUGAAUAAGGAUCGGCUAACUACGUGCCAGCCGCCGCAGUAA
rnacentral:rRNA from 1 species